rnacentral:ncRNA from 2 species
UUUUAGCCCUGAUUGCAGCGGUAUCUUUUUAUUUUUUUCUUUAAAAAAAUAAAAAAUAUAGCGGAAAGCAGGAAUAUGG